UGUGAAAGCCCUGGGCUCAACCUAGGAACUGCAUCCAAAACUAGAUGACUAGAGUACGAAAGAGGGAAGUAGAAUUCACAGUGUAGCGGUGGAAUGCGUAGAUAUUGUGAAGAAUACCAAUGGCGAAGGCAGCUUCCUGGUUCUGUACUGACACUGAGGUGCGAAAGCGUGGGUAGCGAACAGGAUUAGAUACCCUGGUAGUCCACGCCGUAAACGAUGACAACUAGCUGUUGGGAGACAAGAUCUCUCAGUGGCGCAGCUAACGCUUUAAGUUGUCCGCCUGGGGAGUACGGCCGCAAGGUUAAAACUCAAAUGAAUUGACGGGGACCCGCACAAGCGGUGGAGCAUGUGGUUUAAUUCGAUGCAACGCGAAAAACCUUACCUACUCUUGACAUACUUGGAAGCUCUUGUAAUGAGAGUGUGCUUUUAGAGCCAAGAUACAGGUGCUGCAUGGCUGUCGUCAGCUCGUGUCGUGAGAUGUUGGGUUAAGUCCCAUAACGAGCGCAACCCUUACCCUUAUUUGCCAGCGGUUCGGCCGGGAACUAUAAGGGGACUGCCGGUGACAAACCGGAGGAAGGUGAGGACGACGUCAAGUCAUCAUGGCCCUUACGAGUAGGGCUACACACGUGCUACAAUGGGGAAUACAGACGGACGCUAAAGCGUGAGCUGGUGCCAAUCCUAAAAAAUUUCUCGUAGUCCGGAUUGCAGUCUGCAACUCGACUGCAUGAAGUCGGAAUCGCUAGUAAUCGCGAAUCAGCAUGUCGCGGUGAAUACGUUCUCGGGUCUUGUACACACCGCCCGUCACACCAUGGAAGUGUGUUGCACCAGAAGUAGGUAGUCUAACCUUCGGGAAGGCGCUUACCACGGUGUGAUCCAUGACUGGGGUGAAGUCAUAACAAGGUAGCCGUA
rnacentral:rRNA from 1 species